rnacentral:rRNA from 1 species
GAUGAACGCUGGCGGCGUGCCUAAUACAUGCAAGUCGAGCGAACGGGCGAGAAGCUUGCUUCUCUGAUGUUAGGGGCGGACGGGUGAGUAACACGUGGAUAACCUACCUAUAAGACUGGUAUAACUUCGGGAAACCGGAGCUAAUACCGGAUAAGAUUUUGAACCGCAUGGUUCAAAAGUAAAAGACGGUCUUUCUGUCACUUAUAGAUGGAUCCGCGCUUCAUUAGCUAGUUGGUAAGUUAACGGCUUACCAAGGGAACGAUGCAUAGGCGAACGGAGAGGGUGAUCGCCCACACUGGAACUGAGACACGGACCAGGCUACUACGGGAGGCAGCAGUAGGGAAUGUUCCGCAAUGGGGGAAAGCCUGACGGAGCAACGCCGCGUGAGUGGUGAAGGUCUUCCGAUCGUAAAACUGUGUUAUUAGGGAAGAACAUAUGUGUAAGUAACUGUGCACAGAUUGACGGUAACUAAUCAGAAAGCAACGGCUAACUACGUG